rnacentral:misc_RNA from 1 species
GAAGGAAACCCAAUCAGGCACUCCAACUAUCUGAUUAGGGUUUGAGACGCAGAAUCAUUCGGCGAGAGCUGGAGGCUUCGACGGAGUCCGGAUCCUGUGCGAGAGACCUCGCCGAGUACGGAUCUCCGGCGAUCGAGGCGGCGGUGGCUGGGCGGCGAUUCUGUGGUGAACGCGCUUGGGGAGUGGGGAGCGGGUCGGAGAAAAGGACUGCAGAGUGAU